AACUUUUAGCAAUGGAUCUCUUGGCUCUCGCAUCGAUGAAGAACGCAGCGAAUUGCGAUAUGUAAUGUGAAUUGCAGAAUUCAGUGAAUCAUCGAAUCUUUGAACGCACCUUGCGCCCUUUGGUAUUCCGAAGGGCAUGCCUGUUUGAGUGUCA
rnacentral:rRNA from 1 species